CCUACGGGUGGCAGCAGUGGGGGAUAUUGCACAAUGGGGGGAACCCUGAUGCAGCGACGCCGCGUGGGUGAAGAAGCGUUUCGGCGCGUAAAGCCCUGUCAGCAGGGAAGAAAAUGACGGUAACCGAAGAAGAAGCCCCGGCCAACCACGUGCCAGCAGCCGCGGGAAUACGGGGGGGGCAAGCGUUAUCCGGAUUUACUGGGUGUAAAGGGUGCGCAGGCGGAGAUGGAAGCCAGGAGUGAAAGCCCGGGGCCCAACCCCGGGACUGCUCUUGAAACGGCGAGGCUGGAGUGCAGGAGAGGUAGGCGGAAUUCCUGGUGUAGCGGUGAAAUGCGUAGAGAUCAGGAGGAACACCAGUGGCGAAGGCGGCCUGCUGGACUGCAACUGACGUUGAGGCCCGAAAGCGUGGGGAGCAAACAGGAUUAGAUACCCUAGUAGUC
rnacentral:rRNA from 1 species